CUUCGAUCUUGCAGCAGUAACGGAGAGGAGGUGGAGCCGGAUUCUCCAAUUUAGGAGGCCCGGGUAAUGGAUAUUCGGGCGGCCCAUCUUAACACUCGGCCCAACUCAACCGUGGGCAAUGGAGGUCCAGUCAUUUGGCCCAGCAAUCCUUCACUCAAGGCCCAGCGAACUACAUAAAGGCCUGUCAUUCGGCCCAGUGAUCCUUCACUCAAGGCCUAGCGAACUACAUAGCAGCCCAGGCCCACGCGACCUCCCCAGCGGACCUCAGUAAGUUGGCCUAUCUUUCUGAGGCCCAAUUUCAACAGCUCUUGUCGACGAUAUCUCGCGAUAAUGGCGAGGUUAAUCGACUAAGUGGGCUGCACCUCGGGGAGUACGAUUGGAGUGGAUGAACUUCACGGGGGGGUCUGGCUUCUACGACAAGUAUCCUCAUCUUUUUAGAGACUACGGGCAAUGAAAGCAGACGAUGAAGAUACUUGGCAUAAGCGGUUGGGACAUCCUUCUUUUCGUAUUCAGUUUGAGAAUGAUUCUAUUUCCAUGCAUCGUUCAGUCAGUAAUUCACUCUGUGACAUAUGUUGUCGGGCAAAACAAACACGCUCCAGUUUUACCAGCAGUUCAAAUAAAGCCUAUUUUCCAUUUCAA